rnacentral:lncRNA from 1 species
UUUUACUUUUUAAAACAUUGUCUGUCUCUUAGCUUCCCAGUCCUUUGAUGGAGCUGUUCUUAUCACUGUGAGCCAGAAAGCAGUCUCACUGUAGCUCUAUGAGGAGUGGUGAUGGAUCACUGGUGUUUGGCUAAACUAUGCAAAAGGGAAGUAUCUUGGUGGCAAACAAGGGAGGCACAUCAGGUGUGGGAACUCGAGCUCUGUAAAGGAUGAAAUAGAAAGAGAGAACUAGGUAAGUAUUCUUUACAACUUUUUCCCAUCUCCCCACCCCCUCUGUUAUAAAAAAGGAAAGAGUAUUGAAAUGGUAGCUCUGCAGUUCAAAAC